rnacentral:piRNA from 1 species
UACAUGGGCUCUCGAACGUCUAUAAUGACU